UUUAAUUUCAAGAUAAUUAAAAGGAAAACAACCAUCCAAUACACUUGAAAUAUUUAAUAUUCUUUACUAGAAAUAAAUCAUAUGGCUUAAUGGCAUUUAUUUUCAAAAUCCAUUCCAUAUUUUACUACAGUUAGCACCUGUAAAGUUGUUUCAGUUGCACAAUGUUUAAAACAGAACAGUAAUUUUCAGUACAAUAAAAAUUGGAUCAAACUGACAUGUAUUUUGAUUGCCUUGAGACAGUCUUCUUCAGGGAGAGGCAAAACAAAGUUCCGAAGCCCACAUCUGAAACAUUUGGUUUUUUUGUAUCAACAACUUGUUUAACAUUAACUUAAUUGAAAGCCUUAUAUUUGGUUUUAAUUUAGCUAGCGAGAUUUGAUUUAGCCAUUUUAAGAUGUGAUAAUGUAAAUUUAAUGUACACAUUUCAGAAAAUAUCCUGUGGAUGUACUCACUAGCAGCAGCUAGAACCACUGCCACAAAUUCAAACACUGUAAAAAAAAGGUAAUAUCUUUGACAAAUAAGUGACAAAUAAGUAGAUUCAUUUUUCUGUAAGAGCAGGAGAAGUGAUACAGGAGAAGAGAUUUUUACCAGAAGAUCUAUAUAGGUGCUGAUGUAGUAUUAAUUGUCUCAGUGCAGAUACUGGUGAACAUUUGGAAGGACUGCAACAGGCACCAGAGAUGUAACUUGACAGUGUUAUCUCACUGCUGUAUUGAACAAUCCCUCAUUGUAUCUAAUGCAGAAAGCAAACACAGCAUCGCUAACCUGUUCGGUCUUUGGUUGUGUUUCGUCCUUGCAGGAUUCAACAGGAGUACCUGACAGCGGGACUCUGGAAGAGCUUCAUCAAGCUUUCAUGCACAAUUUAGACAACUGCUUGGAACCCUGUCUUCUCUGUAAAGGAAACUCUGAUGUAGCCGUAGCCAAUUAAUACAGAGAUGGGAAGCUACGGACCACCGUGGAAUAUAUAACAGCCUGUGCUUUAAACCAAAUCCAACAUUACAAGGCCUGCAGAAAGCUUUGCCCAAUUAGCUUCCCACCACAUGCUUGUCCCUGACUCACGAUCAGGUGAUGGGAUUAAAAAUCUCACAAAGUGUCUCCAUCAUUUUUAACUCUAAUGUUAUGGACCCACCUCUAAGUUGGUUCAAAAGAUACACAAAAGUUCUCCAUCAUGGGAAGUGUAAGAAUAUUUAACCUUGCCUCGCUGAAAGCAGCUAAGAAACAGGCCACCUCCCAGUUCAACACUCAACUUUCCAAAUAGACAUCGGUGAAGAGAGACAUCUAGUGUUCACAAUUAAGAAAAAAAUACUGGAUGCAUUAAUCAACCAAUCUGAAGAAUGGGCAUAAAGAGAACAGAGCCAGGCUCCCGGUACCCACUGACAGAGCAAGAGGGAAUGGACUGAAACACAGGAGAUUCCUGCGAGGGAAC